rnacentral:lncRNA from 1 species
UCAUCAUAUCGAAGCCCCAGGUGCAUGCAAUCUCCUACGUGGCUAAUUAUUAUCAAAACCAAGUCCUAUCUCUGAUAUUGAAGUGGGUGGUACAAUUCAAAUUGGCUUGGAAUUCAUGGACGUGUUGGAGUGAAUGGGGUUGUAGCACGUGGCUUUAUCUUGAGAUAUGGUGAUUGUAUUUCAUCAAUUAGAAUUACUUUUCAGAGUUUAAUUUGGUGAAGGGACCAUCAUGCAUGUACAUGGUCUUCGUCAGGGGAAAUGUGCAUGAUGGAUUCAAUUGGUGAAG